ensembl:misc_RNA Y_RNA Y RNA
GGCUAGCCUGAGAGCAGUGGUGCUUACAACUAAGUGAUCACAACCAGUUACAGAUUGCUUUGUUCCUUCUCCACUGCUUCACUUGACUAGCCUUAA